CGGCGGGAGAAGCGCCUACGACGGUGGAGGUCGAGGCGGACGAGCUGUGGCGGAGCACGGGUGUCCAGGGGGACGCUGGGGAAGCGUGCGCAAGGGCGAGGACGGCGGAGGAGAGCUGCGAGGUGCCGCUGGAGAUGGGUGAGCAGGUCGAGUGGGGUCUCCCUGCGCCCAGAGAAAGAGCGGCAGGAAGAGGCAGCGAACCGCCGUCGACCGCGGAGGAAAGUCGCCCCGCGAAGAGCGCCGCUUUCCCAAGCAGGACGGAUGCCGUGCUGGGCGACGCGGAGCAGUGUGCCUCGUCUGUGGACAGGCAGAGCUCCGUGUCGGAGAGGAGCGGAACCGCCGACGCGAAUUCUCCCGCGGAACGGGAGUCCGGCACUUUCGGGGAAAAAGCGCCCAGCCUGCCUGAAGCCCAGGCAAGCGUUGUCGAAGAGCGGCGCGGCGGAGCAAACGCCGCAAAAAGAGGAGGGCUGCGUAGCAAGAAGCGGCCAGUUUUACGAGCGUCGCGGCGGGCUCAGCGUGCGGCGAAUCGGCGGAGGCGAGAGCGGCAAGCAGGGCGGCCUUGCCAGGUCCUUCGCCGAAAGACGGCCGAGCGGCGAGGCGCGCGGCGAGACGACGGGGGGCGCGAGAAAGAUGUCCGCCCCCGACAACGGAGCGGGGACAACGCGGAGCGGCUGCGGGGAGCCGUCGCGAAGGUCCCACGGAAGCCGGUUAGCGAAAGCCACGUGGGCGCCGCCAUGUUCGGGACGCGCCACGUGCGAGUGAGGGAGUCCUGCGGGGGCCGAGGCCGGGCGGACGGGGGACGAGGAUGGCCACCCCGACCCCCAAGCGCGCCGCCAUGGGGGUCUCUUGCAGGUUUCCCCGCCCCAACCACCAGCGGUGAGCGUCUGGGACCUGUACUCCCGACCGGAUGCACGUGAGAACAGCGCUGGACGUUGGGACAAUUGUGGGGCAGGCAGCAGCGGGGACGCUGCUAUUCUUUUUGAUGGGGGGCUAUGUAACGACCCACGUUACUGCUUUAAUGUAAAUAGUUGCAUUAUGGGAAAUCUGUAAAUAAUGUCCGUAACCGCUGGGGUUACGUCGGGGGGAAAUGGUGGGUUGACUGGCUG
rnacentral:lncRNA from 1 species